UACGUAGGUGGCAAGCGUUGUCCGGAUUUACUGGGCGUAAAGAGCGCGCAGGCGGUCGUUCAAGUCGCGUGUGAAAGCCCCCGGCUCAACUGGGGAGGGUCACGCGAUACUGAUCGACUCGAAGGCAGGAGAGGGUAGUGGAAUUCCCGGUGUAGUGGUGAAAUGCGUAGAUAUCGGGAGGAAUACCAGUGGCGAAGGCGGCUUCUUGGCCUGUUCUUGACGCUGAGGCGCGGAAGCUGGGGGAGCAAACGGG
rnacentral:rRNA from 1 species